AAUGGGAUACCUAAAUUUCCCAUGGCAAACUGCUCAGUAACACAUGAUCAACUUACCCUAUGGAGAAAAAUAACCUCGGGAAAUUGAGGAUAAUGUUUCAUAGUUGAAUAGGCUUGGAAAAGUUUUUCAAUAAAAAGGAAAAGGAUCAUGGUUCUUUUCUGCCAUAGGAUAGGAUCGUGGUCGAUUAUGGUUGUUGGCGAGGUAAAGGCUCACCAAGCCGAUAAUCGAUAGGGGCCGUGAGAGCGGGAGCCCCGAGAUGAGUACUGAGACAACGACCCAGACCUUACGAGGUGCAGCAGGCGCGAGACCUCCGCAAUACACGAAAGUGUGACCGGGUUACCCAAAGUGUUCAUAUUUGAACUGUGGUAGGUGAGUAAUGUCCCCUACUAGAAAGGAGAGGGCAAGGCUGGUGCCAGCCGCCGCGGUAAAACCAGCUCUUCAAGUGGUCGGGAUGAUUAUUGGGCUUAAAGUGUCCGUAGCCGGUUUAGUAAGUUCCUGGUAAAAUCAGGUAGCUUAACUAUCUGUGUGCUAGGAAUACUGCUAUACUAGAGGGCGGGAGAGGUCUGAGGUACUACAGGGGUAGGGGUGAAAUCUUAUAAUC
rnacentral:rRNA from 1 species